rnacentral:rRNA from 1 species
UGUAAUUUGUAGAGGAUGCUUUUGGUGAGGUGCCNCCCGAGUUCCCUGGAACGGGACGCCACAGAGGGUGAGAGCCCCGUCUGGCUGGCCACCGAGCCUCUGUAAAGCUCCUUCGACGAGUCGAGUAGUUUGGGAAUGCUGCUCAAAAUGGGAGGUAUAUGUCUUCUAAAGCUAAAUAUUGGCCAGAGACCGAUAGCGCACAAGUAGAGUGAUCGAAAGAUGAAAAGCACCUUGAAAAGAGGGUUAAACAGUACGUGAAAUUGUUGAAAGGGAAGCGCUUGUGACCAGACUUGGGCGCGGCGAAUCAUCCGGGGUUCUCUCCGGUGCACUUCCCCGUGUUCAGGCCAGCAUCAGUUCGGCGCGGGGGAAAAAGGCUUCGGGAACGUGGCUGCUCCGGCAGUGUUAUAGCCCGUUGCAUAAUACCCUGCGCUGGACUGAGGACCGCGCAUCUGCAAGGAUGCUGGCGUAAUGGUCACCAGCGACCCGUC